GGUCCGAGCACAAGCUUCUGGUCUUCUAGGGCGGGAAAGGGACGCCAGCAGUUUCUUACCGCGUGCCGUGCAGGGUUGUAGGUGCAGACCCGAAGCCUACCUGUGAGACUCUGCCUCCUGCCGCUCCUGGUGUUCAGCACGUGAACUUCGCAGAAACAGGUCUUUCCGGCAGCAAGGCAUAAUCGCGAGUAUUACUGGUCCUAACCCACUGAGCUCCACCAGCCCGUGUUAGGGCAUAUCAAACCGGCAACCAGCAAUCCACGGGCCUGGAGAGACCUAGGAUCUUUUGCUCAGUGGUAACGAAUCCGCGUGCAAAUGCAGGACACGCAGGUUCGAUCCCUGCUCUGUGAAAACUGCACAUUCUGCAGAAAAACUAAGCCCCUACACCGGAACUACUGAGCCUGAGCGGGUGCCCUGCGGCCCAGGAGGAAGAGCAGCCGCCAUCCAAGCCAGUGCAGCACGACUAGAGAGGCGCUCCUGCUGAUCGCAACUAGAGAGAAGCCCCUGCAGCAAGGAAGACCCGGCGCAGUCAAACAUAAAUACAUAAAAAUAAAGGGGAGCCUUCUUUUCCUUAUCUCGAAAAAAUAUUGUCAAGAUACUGACGAUCAUCCAGAGUUUUGUUUUUCAUAAAUGUGUCUUAAUGAAUUUUUUAAAAAUCUGAACAAGCAGUAUGAUUUUUUGUUUGUUUGUUUUUCUCCAUCUAAACAACAGACAUUUAUUUCUCAGUUGUGGAGGCUGGGGAUUCCAAGGUCAAGGUGCUUCUGAUUCGGGUCUGAGGGCACCUGCUUCCUGGUUCAUGGAAGGUGAGAAUAAGCAGUAGGAUUUAAAUAGUUUAUUUCAUGAGCUCUAAAUGUGGCCUGUGAGCACCACCGGGCCCUUGGAACUACAUGACCACAGUAUUUUAUCUUUCAUUGACCUUCCAACUUACCUGC
ensembl:lncRNA